rnacentral:rRNA from 1 species
AAACGCUUGAAGUCAGUCGCACCGUUCAGGAUUCAGCCUUGCUUCUGCUCGGUUUACUUCCUGUUGGGUGGGUCAACAUCAGUUUUGGUCGGAGGAGAAAAGCUUGGGGAAGGUGGCAGCAUUCGUGCUGUGUUAUAGCCCCUUGUUGUAUACUUCGACUGGGACUGAGGACCGCAGCACGCCUUUGGCCG